AAGUCGUAACAAGGUUUCCGUAGGUGAACCUGCGGAAGGAUCAUUACCAAAUCCAAAUUUACCCCAACCCCGUGUGAACUAUUGUAACUAGUUUGUCUUUGGGAAGCUUAGGAAGAGACGGUGGAUUUUUUAUUAGGUCCCCUGUUUUCCUGCUUCCCAAAUGAAUCCAGCACAUUGGUCUUGUAACCACGAGAUCAACUGGUCUGUGAUUCAAAACACCCUUUAAACCACUUGAUUUUCUGUUGGAAUUACUUUUUAUAAAUUAUUAAUAAAAAGACAACUUUUAACGGCGGAUCUCUUGGCUCGU
rnacentral:misc_RNA from 1 species